ACCAGACUCCUACGGGAGGCAGCAGUGGGGAAUAUUGCACAAUGGGGGGAACCCUGAUGCAGCGACGCCGCGUGGGUGAAGGAGCACCUCGAUGCGUAAAGCCCUAUCGGCAGGGAAGAAACAGACGGUACCUGACUAAGAAGCCCCGGCUAACUACGUGCCAGCAGCCGCGGUAAUACGUAGGGGGCAGGCGUUAUCCGGAUUCACUGGGGGUAAAGGGAGCGUAGACGGCGACGCAAGUCUGGAGUGAAAGCCCGGGGCCCAACCCCGGGACUGCUCUGGAAACUGCGUCGCUGGAGUACGGGAGGGGCAGGCGGAAUUCCUGGUGUAGCGGUGAAAUGCGUAGAUAUCAGGAGGAACACCGGCGGCGAAGGCGGCCUGCUGGACCGUGACUGACGUUGAGGCUCGAGAGCGUGGGGAGCAAACAGGAUUAGAUACCCCUGUAC
rnacentral:rRNA from 1 species